UGAAUUCAGAAGCUGUUACUUUU
rnacentral:piRNA from 1 species